GCGGAGGAAACUAGAAUACAAGCUAGCUAAGGAAAGCCAGGCCGCCACACCGACCGGGGCUCUCGAUUUCGUGCUUGGUUUGGUCUAGGGUCCAGUUUCGCCAUUGAUCUCGUAGAUCUCAGACCCACAUCGAAAAGAUGGAUCGGCAUCGCCUAAGCGACCAAAUCACAUCCAUCUUUCAUGCAUAAUUGCUUCGCCUUUCCGUCCAGACCUUUUUCUGGCAUUAAACCCCAACCCAACAGCUUAUCACCUCGACAAUUUUAUCUCCCUUUAUCUCUCUCUAGAAACUGAUAGCCAUCGUUAUCCAUCCUAAAUGCCCUCAGAGGCACUAUCUAUCUUCGUCCCCCAAAGAUUCCCAUGAAUUAUAGCCUAGCUUCUAUGAAACGUUUGAGGGAGCCUCGGAAUUUCGUAUCGUAUUCUGUUCCUUUGGUUCGCUUGCUGGGUUCUGUUUGCGGUUGAGUUGAAUUGGUUUUAGGGUUUUGUAUUUUUGGGUUUCGGGGAAAUCUUUCUUUGUCAGUGGAAGGGUUGCGAGUAUGGAAGGAUUUGAAGGUGGGGGAAGCUUUCGAGGUGCGGUUAAUCAUCGGGAUCUCAAACCCUUCGGCGCGAAUUCGUCAGAAGAUGCUGUAUUUGAUGCAUCACAAUAUGCCUUCUUUGGUAAUGAUGCUGUUGAAGAAGUUGAAUUGGGGGGACUAGAAGAUGAGGAAGAUGAUUUUGCUCCAGUUGGGUUUGAUGAUGAGCAGCAUCAGCUGGAUCAAGAAGAGGGUGAAGUUUUAGGAUCUUUAUCUGAAAUUGAUGAUCUUGCAGAGGCAUUUUCAAAGGUUGGUUUCCAUGAAAGUUGGAAGUAUUUUGCAUGCACUUCUGGAGUGAGAUUUGAAAGACAAAAAUUGUGCCUACAUUUAUUUUUGAGAUUUUUAACUGUCAUUAUUGUCUUCUAUAGGACAUGUUAUCAAUAUUUUUUAAUUAAAUGUGAGGUUUUUUUCUUUUUUUUUUUUGGGGGGGGGGGGGGGGGGGGGUUGGUCAUAAUGUGGCGUGCAGUUUGAUUUGUAGGGAUGGUGUUUAAAUUCAUUGGGUCCUUUUUAACCCUUGAAGAGCAGGGAGGCUUCUAUUGCAUAUUAUAUGGUUGCUGUUGUCACAUUUUGAAACUUUUUGUUUUUUUUUUCCUUUUUUGAAAUAUGUUGGCAUACUUGAAGCCCUUUUCUCUUUUUGGAGCCGAUCAUCCUUCUCCAGAAUUUUUUUUUUAUUUUAUAUUUGGACAAGCCCAACGUAAUUAGUUGUCGUUUGUACAUUUUCUUUGUCAUCUUGUACUUACAAAACAUGAAACUCCCUUUCUAAAAGAAGCAUUACUAGUUUCUGUUUUGGAAUAAGUGAAUGAAACCUAAGACUGGCAGUUUCAAAUGUUAUAUCGACAAAAGCUUUCUGGACUAAAGCAUGUUAGCUUUACAUGUAUAUAGAGCUUUAUAGGGUAAAAACCAAAUCUGGUAGUUGCAAAACGUUAAAUUGAUAAAGCUUUUCUUGGACUAUAUAGCGUGUUGGUGACACGUGGAUGGAGCUUAUAGGGUUUUCUUUUUCAACUUAUUCUAGUAUUGCUUUGCAUUGGGUUUUGGGUUGUGGUUGGCUUGAAUUAUAAAAUAAUUAUAACUUGCUUGCAAGGAGGAUGACAUUUGUGCAUUUUGGAAUUUGAUUAGCUAGUUGGCUUACUCUUGUCAUAUCAGUGAGAGUAAGCCAUUGUCUCACCCAGGAUUGUCAAGGCGCUAACCUGGGCACCAGAGCAGAAUAGUGCCUCUGGGCAUCCCAGGCAAGGUGCCUUCAAUGAGGCGCCCGCCUAGGCAUGCUUGAGAGGUUCCUCAAGACAAUAGAAAUGCCCUAAGGCAGUGCCUUUCUGAAAAGUCUUUUCAGAUUCCUUUUAUGUUGCUUAACCUUUAUUUUAUUCUGGGUACUUCAAAUAUAAUAAUAGAGUUUAGAUUUCCAAAAAAGUAAUUAAUAUAAAACUUAAAAAUUAAUUAUAACUUAAUAGAGUUUCUGUUCCCAAGCAAAUUAAUUAUAAGUUAAAAAUUAAUAUUAUAUUCCUUUAUGCUGCUUAACCACCCUCUUUUCCCAAGCAAAUUAAUUAUAACUUAAUAGAGUUUUUGUUCCCUAGCAACUCUUGGAAUUCUUAAAAUUUCUGUUCAUCCUUUUCUCAAGAUGCAGGCACUGAUUUAUUUAUUAAUGUUGGAUCAUGAGGAUAUGUCAAGGAAAAAAUCUUUAGAAAUAUUCAAAACUGAAAUAGGAUAUUUCCUAAUUUAGUCUUAGGAAACUUUCCUAAGAUUGUUUAUAUGUAUCUUUUCUUUUUGUUUUUCCUUCCUUUCUUGUAAUUAGAUUUGUUUCCAUGUUGUAUUCCUUUUCCUCUAUAAGAGGAUGUAUCCGUGUACAUACAAUCAAUAAGGAGAAUUAUAUUCUGAUUUCCUACAUGGUAUCAAAGCCAGCGAUAUCCUCUUGUUCAUCCUAAAACCCUAGUGUACUGUCACUGCUCAAAUCCUAGUGUGCCUUCAUUGCACAUUCUUGUUCGUUCCAUUCAAGCCUUAAGUGCUUCCUCUUUGUUCAGCCAUUUUUUUCGAUAAUUAUGUCUAAAAUAUUUGAAGCAGUACCUACCAUAACCACCGCUAAAUCAACCCCAAUUGAUUAGCCAACUGGAGCAGGAGAGCUGUCGGGGAUGCACCAUUCCUACCGGUUAAAUGGUAGGAAUUACUUGCAGUGGGCUCAACUGGUGAGGACGUUCCUCAAGGGUCGAGGGGAGAUUGGACACUGAACCCCCCCCCCAAAGGACACAAAUCCCAUCUUCAUAGCAUGGGAUACUAAAGACUCUUUGAUCAUGUCUUGGCUAUGGAGUGUCAUGCAGCCAGAUGUUGUAAGAACUUAAUGUUUUUAACUUUAGCAAGGGAUAUUUGGGAGAUUGUGAGGCAAACCUAUUCCAAGGUUCAAGAUGCCUCGGUUAUUUUUGAGAUUAAGACUAAGAUUAGUGGCACUAGAUAAGGAACCUUGACUAUAAGAGAGUACUACAAUAAGAUGAAAGGAUUAUGGCUAGAACUAGACCACUAUCAAGACAUCAAAAUGGUGUGUAGUGUAGAUGCUGCCACCCUUAAUCGAAGUUUUGAAAGGGAUAGGAUUGUAGAAUUCCUAGUAGGGCUAAAUCAAGAGUAUGAUCAAGUGAGAAUUCAGGUGCUUGGUAGGUAGAAAUUGCCUACUCUUAAUGAAAUAUUUGCCAUUGUUAGAAGUGAAGAAAACAGAAGGGUAGCCAUGCUUAAUGAACAUGGUGCAGAAAGUUCAGCUAUGGUGUCAAGUAACAAAGUAGGAAAAUCGGAGGUGUCAAUGAAGAAUUCAGGCUGUGAUAGCUUUUGGUGUACCUAUUGCAAGAAGCCAAGGUACACUAGGGAUACAUGCUUCAAACUCCACUAGAAAGAAGCUGUUUUGAGCAGAGUGGGAGGAUUUAAGAACCUAACUCCCAAGAAUUAUGCCUAUAUCUCAAGCAAGGAGUUGAAGGAUGCUGGAUCUGCAGAAAAGACAAAUCCUAUUAGAUCUGAUCUUUUUUUUUUUUUUGAAAUGAGUGAGCACAAAUAUAUUAAUGAGAUCAUAGGAGUAGUACAUCAAUGACUCGAAACAAGAGAGUUCCACACAAUUCAUGCUAUCCAUAACACCCCUGUCAUGACCAUAGGAGUAAUAAAGGGACAUUGUUGUAAUAGGGUAUAAUAGUUAGUUAGAGAUAUUUUACAAGUUGUUAGAAACACAUGGGUGCUGUUAGGAUGUUGUUAGAAAUUAGUUAAGCAUUUAGCUAUGCCUAUAAAAGGCCAAUUGUAAGUGGAGAGAUUAUGCUUGAAUGAAUGAAAGAAAAUCUGAUUCUCUCUCUCUACAAUUCUCUCAAAUCUCCCUCUCAUUUCUCUUUUUUACUCUCCCUCAAUUCUCUCUAAUUCCUCCCCCAUUCUUCUUCAAUUUUCCCUUUAUAGAUUAUGUUCUUGACCUUACUUCAAUCGGAUCCUUCUGAUUGCCAAUUUUAACCCAUUAUGAACCCUAGGUUCAUGACAAAUGGUAUCAGAACAGUCAAUCAUUGGCUGUGGAUUUAAUUCUAGUUGAUUAGAACUUCUAGAUGAGCAAGCAAGUCCAACCCAGACGGUGCGAAGCAAAUCAGGGUGACUUCUGGAACCCAUCACAGUGAUCAGAUUUUCGGAUAUACUUGGCGAGAGCAAAUCCGGGGCUGUCGACUCUUUCUGGUUGACUUAAUCAAGCCCAGAUUGAGAAGGCUUUGAAGGCGAUUUGGGUGAGGCGAGUGCAAACUGCGAUGGUGAUCAAAGCCGGUUUGGCAAAACUUCAACAAUCCUAGUUCGUCGCUUGAAGGCGAUUCAAGAAGCAACAACUUCCAGUGAAGACGCGAAGGAGAAGUAGGAGGAUUGGAUUGCGGCCAAGACUCCAGUAAUCUGGACCAGACUUAAAGACGAGCAACCCAUGAGGAUUCACAAACUGGAGUGACUGGGCCUGGGUUGCUGAGUCAGUGAUUGGGUGGGCUGCGACUAUUGCAAAAUUGGCUUGACGGUGGAUAGGUUGAGCUUCUGAUCUGAUUUGGAAAGUAUCUACUGUGGCAACAAUUAGGUUCGGAGUCGGGGAGAAGGACUUCGAUGGUGAUCUUGCCAAGAGAAUUCCGAACGGGUUUCCGAAUAUUGCUACUGAUGUGGUUAAUUUCCAACAGGCGAGCAGCCCGGGAAUUUCUAGAAGACAAUUUUGCUGAUUCAAGAACUUUGUCAGUUUCAAUUGGGUUCAGUAUUGUAGGCGAGUAAGACCAACAAUUCCGAUCAGACCUUGGAGUCGAACAAGAAGGUGAACUCAAAAGGGAAGUUAGGCGAUUGUGAAUCCUUGGUGAUUGUUGUUUCAAAGGCGGAGUAGGUGUGCAAAUUGGAAGCAACGAUUGAGAGAGAUAGACUAGGAGACGGCAAUGGAUUCAAGGUUGCUGAAUUGGGAGGAGAUCGAUUCUUAAUUAGGCAAAGGCAUAGUAGCUAUUUUGGAGUCAAUUGAUUUUCUGAAGGCUGCAACAAAACUGAUCGAACUCACAGGAAGUACCUUGGGCUUCCAGUUCGACUUGUGGAGGAGAAGCGGAAGGUUCGACUGCAAAGGCGGAGCAUCAGUUUGAUUCAUUGCUGUGUUCAAGCUGCUGCAGUCGCGGUUUGGGAAGAUCGCUGAACCAUUUCAAUUCCGGCGAGCAGUGAAGGUGAGAAGUGGAUUUUUCCAGCUUAUCCAGCUCGUUGAUUGGUGGUGCUUGAGGCUGUGAGCAAAGGAAACAAGAGGUAGAUUUUGGCUGUAAAAUUUUGGCUAACUUGUUUGAAGAAGAGCAGUAUGUUGGUGAAAAGGCAGCCAAGGGGAGCAGUGCAUAUAUGAGACCAUUAGAGUCUCAAUUACAGCAGAAGAAUGCUGCAUUUUUAGUGGAACAUUUUGCUUGUGAAUCCAUGGAAAGCAGUGGAAGCACAAAACAAUUGGGGCCUCAAUGGCAAUAGAAGAAGGCUGCAAUUUCAGCUGGCAACAAGAAGAGUGAGGAGCAGUUUAUUCAGAAGAAUCAGGCUUGGGAAAUGUUGGAUAAGGUGUCUAGUCGAAUUGACAAGAGAGCAAGCAGUGGGAUUCAUGAAAUGUGCGAGGAAUUCGGUCAUAUGUUCUGCGAGAAGUUGUAGGAGUGUGCGAUGAUACUGAUUAAGAAGUAUCAUUACAACUUUCCGGUGGAAUAUUUCGAUGACUAUCGCAAGAGUUUUAACAAGAUGAAUUCCUUAAAAUAGAGCCGCUGAAGGAGAAAUUGAGGAGGCGAGAAGCAGAUUUAUUGCUCACUUCCAAUGUUGAAGAGAAAAAGUAUACUGGUUUAGGCGAAAUUGACAAGGAAGAUGCCAACUCAUUACUCUCGUUGGCUAGUGCAUGGGCUGAAGGAUUUGGGGGUGUUUUGGAUUAGAAGUUUGUGGGAAAUGGAAUAGCAUUGGAUCAAGAAAAUUUGACUGAAGGACCCUCAAUCUACACAGAUAUUGGGGCUGAAAUCCUUCCUCCUAUUUUGGACCUAUCAAAAGCUAAGGAUUCUUUGACUUGGGGUAUAAUGGGCAGCGAGAAGGUGGAGAGGGUUGAGGAGUACAUGGAAGAAGGGAUUGAAGAAUUGGGGUAUGGCAGUCUAACGAUUGGAAGCACCUCAUGCACCCCCAUUGGUACUAAGAAUCCAGUUGCUAAAACCCUCUAUAUGACACCGUUGGAGGAGGUAACUGUUGAGGAUGAAGCUGAGAUGUUCGCUAGCAAUCCGGGAGGCAAAGAUCUUGGAAUGGAAACGACCACAACAGCCUUAGAUUGUGGAGGUCUUAAAUCUAUUUCUCUUAAAAGAAUAGGAAUGGAAGGAGUUGCUAAAUUUCCUACUAUGGAUCAAUAUGUUUCUGAUCUGGAGCAAUGGAGGACGCAGAAGGAUAAAGCGAAACAAGAUGAAAGGAAGAAAGGGAAGGGAUUCUUUGUUAAAGGGACCAAGACCCUUGUUGUUUUGCUUAUUCAUGUUUCCAUUGGUGUGACAGCAAGAUGUAAUGCUGCUGCUGCUGCUGAGGAGAAAGAAAAAAGAAAGCAAAAGAAAAGGAAAAAACAAGAUAAGAAGGAAAAGCGAAGAAGAAACUAAUGGGUGAAGUUGGGCAUUGGAUGAAGAAACAAUGGCUUGGUUGUAAUAAGUUUCUUGGGGACAAGAAACCUUUCAAGGUGGGGAAAUUGUCAUGACCCUAGGAGUAAUAAAGGGACAUUAUUGUAAUAGGGUAUAAUAGUUAGAGAUAUUUUACAAGUUGUUAGAAGCACAUGGAUGCUGUUAGGAUGAUGUUAGAAAUUAGUUAAGCAUCUAACUAUGCCUAUAAAAAGGCCAAUUGUAAGUGGAGAGAUUAUGCUUGAGCGAAUGAAAGAAAAUCUGAUUCUCUCUCUCUACAAUUCUCUCAAAUCUCCCUCUUAUUUCUCUUUUAUGCUCUCCCUCAAUUCUCUCUAAUUCCUCCUCCAUUCUUCUUCAAUUUUCCCUUUAUACAUUAUGUUAUUGACCUUAUUUCAAUCGGAUCAUUUCGAUUGCCAAUUUCAACCCGUUAUGAACCCUAGGUUCAUGACAACACCCCCCCCCAAAAAAAAAAAAAAAAAAAAAUGACAAUCCAAAACUGACUUCAUAGUCAUCAAGCCUAGAAGAGGGAGAAGAACUUAGCGACCAAGAGUAGAGGUAGACAUGAUAACCUAGUCCACCGAGUAAGGGAAAGAUGGCUCCAUAGCCCUUUCCCAAGCAACUAACUUGGCAAGCACCAAGUUAAAGAUAUCAACCGCACCUGACCUUCGAUAUUUGAAAACUAACCUAUUUCGCUCCAGCCACAUUGUCCAUAGCGUUGAAUAUAAAAGAGACUUCCAUACCUUCCUUUGUCCUUUACCUCGAGCAAAGUAAUCCUAUUGAUCAAAUAGACCCCCAACUGAUCUUGGACAAACCCACUCAUUGCCCUACCAUCUAAAGAUUUGCUGCCACAAGCACAAGACAACCUCACAAUGGACGAAGAGAUGGUCCAUAGAUUCUGGGAUAGAGCCUUAGAAGACGCAAAGCAGAUCGUCCCCCUGCAGAAAUCAUUUCCUACCUAGAUUGUCUUUUGUGUUAAUUUUCCCUCAUAUGACAAGCCACACAAACAACUCCACUUUUGGAGGAGCUAAACUACCCCAAACAUGAGCGGCCACCGAAUUAAUUGGAGGGACAUUGGAACCACACAUCAGUGAGCAAAGCCUCUCAUUAAAUGAGUGCGACGAAAAGGAACCAGCCGCUUCAAGCGACCAAUAUACUCGAUCUCUCCUUCCACUUGCCAAAUGAACUUGGGAGAUAGCUCUUAGCAGCUCAACCUGGAUAGACUCUUCUCUUUCAAGAAGCGGCCUUCUUCAGUUAAGGCUCCAAAACCAUUUUAUUCACCCAAAACCCCAAAUUUGCCACUCUCUUCCCUUUAUCCAGGGACAAUGCGUACAACCAUGGGAACAAACCCGAAAUGGAGGAGAUACCCACCCAAGUGUCUUCCAAAAACCGAGUUAAGUCACCCUUACCUAGGCAGAUUUUAACCCCUUCCACGACCACUGACCGAGCCUCAUUAUUGCUGGUAUAAGUUUCAACAAUGCCCCUCCACCAAGAACUAAAACUCUGCUUAACCUCCACAUCAUUGAUUCCAACAAAGAUACCAUUAUGCCUAGCUGCAAUUACUUUACACCAAAGCUGAUCCCCCCCACUAAUCAUCCUCUAUAGCCAUUUAAAGAGCAAGGCUUUGUUUUUGGCCAACAAGGACCCCACCCCCAACCCGCCCAGCUUCUUAGGCAACUCAACCAAUUCCCAUCUAGCAAGAGCCAUUUUUGCCACCCCCUCAUUCCCAGACCAUAGUGUCACGACCCUAGGAUUUAGCUAAGGUCUAGGAAGGAAUUGGAAAGGAUUCGGGAGGGAAAUGGAGAAGAAUUGGAGGGAGAUAUAGAGCAGAAAUAAAGAGUAAUGAGAGAGAAUUAGGAAGAAUGAGAGGGAGAAAGUAAAGAGGGAAAAUAUGAAUUCACUAUAUUAUUUCAGCAUACAUUUCUCUAUAACAUAAUUGAUAGCAUUUCCUAACCAACAAUGUAACUAAUUACUGCUUUACCCCUAUAAUAUCCCAAGGGUUGUAACAAUUCUCCCUCCUUAAAAGGUUUUUUGUCCCCAAGAAACUUAUUACAACCAAGCCGGUGUCUCUUCAUCUAAUGCUUCUCUUCAUCAACUGGUUUCUUCUUCGUCUUUUCUUGUUCUUCUCUCGUAUUUCUCUUUGCUCUUGCUUUCUCUUUUCUUCUUUCUCCACAAUAACAAUAUUAUGACUUGCUGCAACACCAAUCUCAGCCAUCCACUUCUUCUUUAUUGCCACUAAAAAUGGUUCUAAAUGAGCGGUCAGUCCUGCAACUCUAUCUUUUCCAAUCAUAGAGAUAAUUUCAAAUCUCUCUACAGGCAAAAAUCUGUACAAUACUCCCAAUUCUCCUGGUUGCAAUGUUACCUUUGUCUUGUCUUGUGUGCUCAUGCCAAUGACAUUUGUAUGAGAUGUUCCAAGCAAGUUACUCGGUACAAUCCUCUCUUCUUCCACCUCCUCUUCUUCUUCCUCCGGAUCAUCCCGAUGUUUGGUCUUAUUAACUGGUUCUUCCUCAUAGUUGGGCUGGUCUUGUUGCAAUACUCUAGAAACAUCACCAUCGAGCAGACUAUCAUAUUCCUCAGAAGGAGGUUUUCCCCAAUCUCCUACUUGCUAAUUGCUGGAGUAUACCUUAGGCUCACUUUCAGCAAGUAUUUCCUC